rnacentral:rRNA from 1 species
UACGUAGGGUGCAAGCGUUGUCCGGAAUUAUUGGGCGUAAAGACUCGUAGGCGGUUUGUUGCGUCGGCUGUGAAAUCCCGAGGCUCAACCUCGGGUCUGCAGUCGAUACGAGCAAACUAGAGUGUUGCAGGGGAGACUGGAAUUCCUGGUGUAGCGGUGAAAUGCGCAGAUAUCAGGAGGAACACCGGUGGCGAAGGCGGGUCUCUGGGCAACAACUGACGCUGAGGAGCGAAAGCGUGGGGAGCGAACAGG